AUGUAAUUCGGUUUUCAUGAUUUGAUUCGAUUUGGUUUGGUUUGAACCGAAUGCUCACCCCUGUAUUGAGGCAUUCAGCCAUUCACUCCUUCCUGUUUUCAAGUAUUCUUUUAGUUUCAAUUAUGAAUGUGGAAUGCAAUAUUCAUUUCAGUAUUUAUGUUUUAAGAACAUUGGAAAUUUGAGAACUUCUGUUUUAGGGGUCUCCGUAUGAUUUAUUCAUGUCAGCAAACCUAUGAGGGGAUUAUGAAAAUUAUGAAAUGGUAACAAAUGACAUAUUGCCUCUGCCUGAACAAAUGUUUUCAGUGCAUAUUCUGGGUGUGUUAAAGGGUAUUUGGUAUUUGUUUCAGUAUUGCCCUUGGACUAUAGACAUCUGAUUGCAACUUAAUAUUGCUAAUGUGUUACGUACUUCUACCGUGACUGUCAUUAGGUAAGAAGGAGGUAGAGGAUCGUCGAGAGCAACUUUCAGCUGCCAAGAG
rnacentral:misc_RNA from 1 species